CUCUCUCUCUCUCUCUCCCCCUCUCUCUCUCUCCCAAAACCCCCAAUUUGAAGCUCUAACUCUAGCUCUCUCGAUUUGAAGCUCUAGCUCGCUCGAUUGCAGAUUUUGCAUUGUAUAUUCAUCGAACUCUCUAGCUGUUCUUCAUCGAUCUGUCGCUGGAGGGCUUUGAUCAGUCUCUUCAUCGAACUCGAACUCAAACUCGAUCUGUUCUUCAUCAAAUCACAGAUCCAAAAUCGAUAUCAUUCUUGAACCAAAUUGAUCUAUGUUGCUCUUAUCUCAGAUUAGAUCAGAUCAGAUCGUUGAACCAGAUCGAUCUCUCUUGCUCUGCAUCUCAGGCACCUGAGGAGCUUCCAAAGAAGAAAAAGUUGUUCUUUGCUCAUGCUGCAGAGAACUGGGAUGCUGAAUUCUAUGCCAAAGUCAAUGACGAUGUUUAUGUAAAUAUUGAUUUGUGAUCGAUCCAUGCAUUUCGGUGAUACUUUUGUUAUUAAGGAUUGAAACUUGAGUGUAAUGCAUUGUGAAGUUAUGAUUUAUUUUUUUGGUGCAGAUGCCCUGGGAAAUUCACUUGCAGCUCAUUUAGACAAGCCUCGUGUAUAUGUUGGGUGUAUGAAAUCAGGCGAAGUUUUCUCUGAACAGAGCCACAAAUGGUAUGAACCAGAUUGGUGGAAAAAUUUGGGGAUGGGAAAGUGUACUUCCGCCAUGCUUCAGGUGAGAUGGUUGUCCUAUCCCAAUCAAAUGAUAAGAACUACACUUUUGAAGCAGGGAAUGGGUUUUUGUUGUCUGUCAUGCAAUUCUGGUAUCAAAUUACUGAUGUUUUGCUGAAUUAUACACAUGUAAAAUCUGUUUCUGUUAGCAGAUUGGGUUGAAGUUAAAGAGCUCGUCUUAGCUAUUGAUUUUUAACUUGGUUUUGCCUCCUUUAUAUGGUCAGUAAUUUAGAAUUGAGAUUUAUUUAAGAGGGCAUAUAUAUAAUUUUAGAGGAGAAAAUUGGAUAACAUUUUCAAGCUGAAAUUCUUUGGCAUUUUGAUUAACUAGAUGAUGAUUGCAUGUGUGUGUCUCUAGUUUUGUUUGCUAAGAGAAGGAUAAGGAGAAUAAGAGGAAUGGUUCUUCUUCCUCUGUGUUUUGUAUCUUUUUUCCUAUAAGUACACUAAUUGGUGAUUUACACAUGAUUAGGUAAGAGGGCUACUAUAUUUUAUUACUAGAUAAAGUGCAAAUGGUGGAAGUUGCAAAAUCAUAUUCAAGAGAGGGGAUGAUCUUUGGCAGGACCAGUUGGUAGAUUAAGUAGUUUGUUCAGUAGAUGUACGUCUUUUCUUUCUUCCCUUCUCUGUCUCUCACAGACAAACAUGCAUGGGAGAGGUGGGAGUGGAAAGAGGGUGAUCAGUUGAUUUGAUAUAUUGAUUGUGGUCGCUGUAGGUUAUUCAAAUGGUAUUGUUUAUGGGUCGCUUGAUCUGCAUUUGACUCCAUACAGGUCCUAGCAACUGGACAUGAUGAAGGCAUGUUGGAAUUUAUACCAUCUAGUUCUUUAGCAUAGCUUCAAGAGAAGUUUCGGUUGGACUUGGACGAUGAGGAAUGCAUACAUUUUUUCUAGGAUCUCAUCAAUGAGAGUGUCAAGGCUUUGUUCCCUCAAAUACAUCGAUGGGCCUAGCACUAGCGUUGACGACCACGAAGUACUAACUGGAACACACUUAAAUCAUGUUGAAAUUGGGUUUUUAUCAAUUUUACUGAAAACUAGUUUUGGACUUCAGUUGGCUGUCUCUAUGGCAUAUCCGCUUCCCUCUCUCGACAUCUAUGGAUUCAUGCACCAUGUCAACUGGAGCGUUUAAGGUUGCGUCUCGUCUAGCAAGUGCCACGCCACCUCCUGCUCGUGUUCUUAGCUGUGGUAUUGGUUGGCAGGGAAUUGGGAUCCUUUUCAAUGGACGUUUUGGGAUAGUUACAGGAUCUACAGUUUCUGUAGAAAAUGUAGGUCUUCUUUGAACGGCUUGCUUUGGAAGUUGCAGGGUCGUACAAAUUUCUUUUUUCCAUUUGGCUUCUACUUCAUUUCUCUUUUCCGUUUCCUUCUUUUUGUGCAUUUCACUCUGUGUUCCUAGAGCCUCAGACCUUGUUAUUUUCUUUGAUUUCUUGGUUCUUUUAAUUUUUGGUGAGAGCAGUUUCAAGAGUGUGGCUUGAAAUUGAAUUUUUAGUGAUUUUUUUCCGCCAAGUCACAGAUUGUACAUACUAUUGCUCUUGUAUAUAGGUAGUAGAUUCUCAAGCUUUUUUCUUAGUUAAAUUCUU